rnacentral:rRNA from 1 species
UUGGAGGGCAAGUCUGGUGCCAGCAGCCGCGGUAAUUCCAGCUCCAAUAGCGUAUAUUAAAGUUGUUGCAGUUAAAAAGCUCGUGGUUGAAUUUCGGGAUUGACACAUCGGUCGUGCCUUAAGGGGUAUGAACUGGUGUAGUCAAUUUCUCACCUUCUGGAGAACCACGAUGCCCUUAAUUGGGUGUCGCGGGGAACUAGGACCUUUACUUUGAAAAAAUUAGAGUGUUUAAAGCAGGCAUUUUGCUUGAAUACAUUAGCAUGGAAUAAUGAAAUAGGACGGCAUGAUUCUAUUUUGUUGGUUUCUAGGAUCACCGUAAUGAUUAAUAGGGAUAGUUGGGGGCAUUAGUAUUCAAUUGUCAGGGGUGAAAUUCUUGGAUUUAUUGAAGACUAACUACUGCGAAAGCAUUUGCCAAGGAUGUUUUCAUUAAUCAAGAACGAAAGUUAGGGGAUCGAAGACGAUCAGAUACCGUCGUAGUCUUAACCAUAAACUAUGCCGACUAGGAAUCAGACGAUGUUAAUUUUUUAAUGACUCGUUUGGCACCUUACGGGAAACCAAAGUGUUUGGGUUC